rnacentral:rRNA from 1 species
UAGGGAAUCUUCCGCAAUGGACGCAAGUCUGACGGAGCAACGCCGCGUGAGUGAAGAAGGAUUUCGGUUCGUAAAACUCUGUUGUUAGAGAAGAACAGCGCAUAGAGUAACUGUUAUGCGUGUGACGGUAUCUAACCAGAAAGCCACGGCUAACUACGUGCCAGCAGCCGCGGUAAUACGUAGGUGGCAAGCGUUGUCCGGAUUUAUUGUGCGUAAAGCGAGCGCAGGCGGUCAAUUAAGUCUGAUGUGAAAGCCCCCGGCUCAACCGGGGAGGGUCAUUGGAAACUGGUUGACUUGAGUGCAGAAGAGGAGAGUGGAAUUCCAUGUGUAGCGGUGAAAUGCGUAGAUAUAUGGAGGAACACCAGUGGCGAAGGCGACUCUCUGGUCUGUACCUGAAGCUGAGGCUCGAAAGCGUGGGUAGCAAACAGG